UCGUCCGCAAAUCUCUCCGGAAGAUCGAGUGUCAGAUCGGAAAAUCAGAAGCGGGGAUCGUCAUCAGCGCGUCGUUGUGAGUCCGAUGGUGUGUUCGGAUCGUCGAUCGGACUCCGGCGGCUGGAGGCGAGUCGACCGAGCGACCGAGCGUCUCGGUAAUUUUCUUUGGCCCGUUAAUUUUAGAAAUUCUUGGUUUAAUUGUGUCUAUUGGGUUAUAUUGAGUAUUUGAUGAUUUUGUGAGUCAAAAAUAAUUGUCUGUCAGUUUGCCUGCCUCGUAUUUUGUGCUGUGUGGCGGAGUCGGGAAAUAGUGAAGUUUGGGGACCCGACUCCUAUUGUUUAAAUUGUUGGUUAUUUGAAGUAUUUUUUCUGGCAGGUCCUGGACCCGUUUUUACGGGGGGUAAUGUUCGUGUUGUAGGGGAGGUUCUGCCGAAUUUUCGGUAGUUCCCGAGUCGAGAUUCUUAGACAGUCAGUCCUAGGAGUCUAGACCUAGGAUUAAUGAUCGAUUGUCUCAGCGUAUUGAUAAAUUAUUUUUCGUGAUUAGAUGAUCUGUCUGUUCGGCUCGCUCCUACCGAGGCACCGGAGCAG
rnacentral:lncRNA from 1 species